AGCAGUGGGGAAUUUUGGACAAUGGGGGGAACCCUGAUCCAGCCAUGCCGCGUGUGUGAAGAAGGCCUUUUGGUUGUAAAGCACUUUAAGCGAGGAGGAGGCUACCGAGAUUAAUACUCUUGGUAGUGGACGUUACUCGCCAGAAUAAGCACCGGCUAACUCUGUGCCAGCAGCCGCGGUAAUACAGAGGGUGCAAGCGUUAAUCGGAUUUACUGGGCGUAAAGCGCGCGUAGGCGGCCUCUUAAGUCAAAUGUGAAAUCCCCGGGCUCAACUUGGGAAUUGCAUUCGAUACUGGCUGGCUUGAGUAUGGGAGAGGAGGGUGGAAUUCCAGGUGUAGCGGUGAAAUGCGUAGAGAUCUGGGGAAUACCGAUGGCAAAGGCAGCUCUCUGGCCUAGUACUGACACUGAGGUGCGAAACCGGGGG
rnacentral:rRNA from 1 species